UGGGGAAUUUUGGACAAUGGGGGAAACCCUGAUCCAGCCAUCCCGCGUGUGCGAUGAAGGCAUUCGGGUUGUAAAGCACUUUUGGCAGGAAAGAAACGUCAUGGGUUAAUACCCCGUGAAACUGACGGUACCUGCAGAAUAAGCACCGGCUAACUACGUGCCAGCAGCCGCGGUAAUACGUAGGGUGCAAGCGUUAAUCGGAAUUACUGGGCGUAAAGCGUGCGCAGGCGGUUCGGAAAGAAAGAUGUGAAAUCCCAGAGCUCAACUUUGGAACUGCAUUUUUAACUACCGGGCUAGAGUGUGUCAGAGGGAGGUGGAAUUCCGCGUGUAGCAGUGAAAUGCGUAGAUAUGCGGAGGAACACCGAUGGCGAAGGCAGCCUCCUGGGAUAACACUGAAGCUCAUGCACGAAAGCGUGGGGAGCAAACAGG
rnacentral:rRNA from 1 species